UUAGUGGAGCCAGAAGGACGGCAGCGCGCAGGCGCGAGAUCAGCGUUCGUUGAACACGUGACGCUGGGCCUGCGCCCGCUACGCACGGCGUCUGGCAGCGCUCUAGGCUCUGGAUAAAAGUCCCGGUGCUCUGAGAAGCAGAUGCCAAGACAGCAUUAAAUAAGGAAAUUAUGGCCAGUGUAAAAUGCUUGUGCUAAAAAACAAUGGGGAGAGGUCGGAUAUGGUUGGGAGACAAAUCAGACCCUGAUGCAAGUCUGAUCCCAAAUGAGGAAGAGAGAAGAAGAAUGGGAAGAAGGAAGUUUGGCUGGGACCUUGUAGACUUCACUACAGUCAAUGGAAGGUUCAGCAAAGCUAUGGUUUCUUCCUCUACAAAACGAAGAUGACAGUACACCCCCCACCAAGGAUCAUUAUGAGGAUUAAGGAGACAUCAUUUAAAAUGGAUCCUGAUACACAGUCAUAGCCGAUUAAACAUAAUAAAGUAUCUGGGCAGGAAGGUGGUAGAGGAAGUCACAGCAACAAAAUGGAUGGAAGGCACACAAGAGGCAGAAGACAUCAAGCCCUCAAAACGAUAGCCAUUUAGAGUCUCAAAUGCAAGGCAAGCAAGGCAGUUCCUCCUUGUGGCACCAUCAUACAGGUGCAUAACAGCUUUAUCUGCAAGGUCAAGUCAAAAGUUUUUUAAAAAGUUGCUUGUUUGUUUUUUCAAAUUUCAUUUGGUGACAAAGUCUGACGACUUGUGCUUGUUUGAUAGCAAAUCGAAUCUGAGGGGCUAUGAGGCUACUUAUGAACUUCGUUCUAAUUUGUGUGAAUAUGAUUUGCUGCAGAAAUAAUGUGUUAAUUACAGACCCUGCUGGGUUGCUAUGAAUACGUAUGUGGUAUAAGCGUCACGUUACCUUCACAAGAUGCAAACAUCUGGUUGCAAGGGUUUGGGUAAGGAAUUGUGUACUUGUGAAGUACAACCCUUAAUGUGCACAAUGAUAACUAUGGUUAGUAAGGUAACCACUCUGCUUAAUAAGAGAGUGUGGAAAAUGCUUUGAAAGCUUUGCAUUAAAAAAAAGUGUCCAUUAAAGGAAAGGAAAGUGUAUUCGGAAAACCAACACGCGUUUAGAGAUUUCUGUGUGUGUGUGUGUGUGUGCACGCGUGUGUGUGUGUGUAUCCAAGUUCUUUAAGAUGAAAUUAGACUUGGAAUCUGGGGCAUAUUUUUGCUGUUGUCUUGCCAAAACUUGGAUUUAAGCACUGUUAUCAGGAAAAUUAUCUUUAAGGUUGCUGGAGUUUUCUUGAGCACCAGGGCUAUUGGAGUGAGAAAGCUAAUGAGAGAUGCGAAUUUGCUUCUUAAAACCUUUAAAUUUGUAACAGGAGUUCUCUUUUGUUUUGUUUUAUUCCCUUCCCACCUCCCCCGCCCCAGGAUUCUACUGUCAAUGGAGAAAAAAACUGGGGUGCCAACUUAAGGAAACAGAGUCUGCAUUUGCAAUUCCAAUACGGUCCCCAAAGGGAAUUGUUAAAUAGCCUGAGGGUUAUUUUAGCUCAGUAAACUAAAGAUACUUUAGACUUUAGGGAUGGAAAUUUUAAAACUCUAGCUGAAUUCUAGACGGAGUAAAGAAUUCAGAAACACAAAAUUCACAAAAUAUUACAAUGUUAAAUUUUCUCUGCCACAAAAUAAUACAGGUCCGUGGUUAAAAAUUCAAAUAUUAUAGAAUUAUAUUAACCGAAAUAGUGAAAGGAACUCCUGCCUCCACCGUCAUCUCUCUUCCUAUAAAAGAAACUGUUAAAAUAUGGCUUGUAUUUCUCUAGCUGUUAUUCUUUUUUUACAUAAAUUCAUUCCUACUACAGAGUGUAUUGCAACUCACCUUUCCCCUCACCCCACUUAACAACUAUAUAUCUUGAUGUCCAUCCAAGUUAGUGGUUAAUAUAACCACCUCAUUCUUUUUCAUCAUGAAAUAGAAUUCCAUUUUAUGGCUUUACUGUAAUUUAAAAUUAACCAGUUUCUGAAGGUUUACUUUUCCUCAUGGUUAUUUUAUUUUUCUCCUUUGAUUUUCAUCUGCUUUCCUGGUUAGGCACACGUAGAAAAAUAAAAAGCUUAGAUUUGAUUAGAGAAAGCUGUAAAUAGUGAGAUAACUGUUUUCAAAUGGCAAAUUUCCAGUUCUGUGGAACGAGCAGUACAGUUAUCUCAAAAAGAUGAAACAAGCGAUGUCUCUUCUGAAUUGUAAAGAAUAUUCAGGUGUUACUAGUAAAGGAAUGAGUAACUCUCAAGUGUGAGAAUUAAAUUUUCCUCAGCUGUACCGAGGCAUUAGAAUUUCUGGAGGAAAUAAGCCUUAUUGUAAAAAUCAACUUUCACACUUAAAAUUAGGGACAGAGUAUCUGUGGUCCUGCUCGGAAAGGAGUGUUUUAUGUACAGAGUUCACCAGACAUUCGAAGGCCAGGGAUAAUAGGCGAUGAGGCAUUCUGAUGACCUGUGUCCAGGUAAAUAAGAGAACGGUAACUGGAUCGCUUUCACCACAAAUCAGAGUAACAAUUGCUCUGUCCCUCCUCUGUCAUUGUAUGCAAUUCAACAGUCUUUUCCUCCGCAGGAGCAAGGAGUGUAAUUAAGGUGAACACCUGUGACACACAUUACAUUACUAUUGCAAUUUAUCUAUAAAGACUCUCUGUUCCAUUUCGCUUCCUGCCCCUCAGAAGUAACCACUAUUCUUAAUUUUAUGAUAAACAUUCCUUUGUUUACAUACUAGUUUUAGCAAGUAUAUACGUGUUCCCAAAUAAUAUAUCAUUUAGUUAUGCUUGUUCCUGAGCUUUGUAAAAAGGGCAACUUACUGCACAUAAUUUUCUGUGAUCUUAGAAACUUUAUGUUUCUAAGAGUAAUUUAUUCUGCUGAAUGUGGUGGUUGCUUCCUGACCUUCACUGCUAUAGAAUAUUUCAUGAUCUGACUAUAUCAAAAUUUAUUUUUCUUUUUUUUUCAGUUCGAAGUAUUUUUAAAUUUUCAUUCACGAUUUCCUCUUUGAUCCAUGGUUAUUUGGAAGUCUAAAUCCCACUUAUUUAAGUGAAUCUUUAGAAAUUAAAAGGUACUGUUAUUUAAGUUUUAAGUUAAAUCUUAACAAAAAAAUUAGUCUGAAAUAUAUUUCUAAAUCUAUUGCCUUGCAAGCAGAGAUUACAAGGUCUAGAUCAGGGAUCAACAAACCCAGCCACGACCUGUUUUUCUGCAGCUUGUGAGCUAAGAAUGGUUGGCACGUUUUAAAUGGUUGAAAAACACAAAUAUUUUGAGGUAUGUAUAAAUUAAAUAAAAUUCAAAUUCAGAGUGCCUAAAUAAAGUUUUAUUGAAAUACGGCUAUGGUCAUUUGCUUAAUUACAAUCCUUGUUCCUGCAGGAGGAGAAGAUAAUUGAAUUGCAUAAGCAUAUUGACUAUGACAGCUUUCAAGUUACAGGGGCAGACUUGAGUGAUUGCAAUAGAGACCAUUGACCUACAAAGCUAAGGUAUUUACUAUCUAGUGCUUUACAGAAAAAGUUUUUCAACCCUUGGUCUAAAUAAUCCAAAUUCUUUGAAAUAUGUUAAGGUACACUGGUGAAUUUAUGUAAAUAUUUCUUACGGGUUUGAUGAGAAUGUGUAUUCUCUUAUUGCUGUAUGUCGACACUGUAAUCUCUAAAUAUUGUAUACCUUAUAUCUGUAUCUAUCUAUGUACAUGGAGUUGUCAAUAACUUAUCAAUAGGUGAGAGAGUAUUGAAGUAGCCCCACCAUAAUGGUGGAUUUAUCAAUUUCUCCUUGUAGAUUUGAUCAUUAUGUGGUGCCCUUUCUAUCCCCAAUAAUGCUUUUUUAUCUUAAAGUCCAUUGUGAUUGUGUGAUUUUAAUGUAGCUACACCAGUCUUCUUUUCAUUAUUAUAUACCUGAUAUAUCUUAUGGUUUCCAUAUCCUUAUGUUUGUAAAUAGCACAUAGCUAUGUUUUUAAAAACUACUUUGACUCUUUUAGCUGUAGAAUUUAAUCCAUUUAUGUUGUGAUUACUUACAUAUUUGAAUUUUUUCCCUUUGGUCUUUCCUUUCUAUUUUCUAUUUGGCCCUCUUUUUCUACAAUUCUUUCUUGUAUUUUUAAAAUUUUUCUUUGCACGGGGUAAAUAGGUGGAGAUACUGUUAUGUUUAUUUGUUUAUUUCUUAUUGCCUUUCUCUUCCUCUGCUGUUCUGGAAUUUCUGCUUUCUGUGUCUAUUCUUUCAGAGUCUUUAAGAUACUGUAGAACAUAACCACCAAAGCCAUGUUCUCAAAUUCCAACUUCGUCACACAGUAGUUAGAUGACUUGUGGCUCAUGUUUUUGUGUCUUUUAUUUUCCCUCAUGUAUAAAAUGGAGACUGUCAGAAGAUUGUUGGAAGAAUGUAAAUGAGUUGAUACAUAGACAGCAUUAAAACAUUGUAAAUAUCAUAUGGGUAGUUUCGCUUGAAAUUCUAUCUUGAAUGCUUUUCUUACAGACAUUUAAAAUUAAUACUUUAACCCCUUCAAAACAAUACAAGGACCGCAGAACAGUUUAACUCUGAUCAUCCUCCAGCUGAUUUAUGUUAUCGCCCAAUAUUUUAAUUGUGCUUUUUAACCCCACAAAUUUGACAUUAUUAUUAUUAUUAUUAUUUACAGACCAGUUUUCUUUAGAUUACCCCAAAUGUUUAUCAAUUUAUUUGCUCACCAUUUUUUCCUUGCAUCUCAGUAUUUCUUAUUGGGUCACUUCCUUCAUCCAAAGGUGUGUUUUAGGAGUUCGUCUAGUGAAGGUGUUAAAAAGCAAAGCUUUUAUUUUUCUAAAAAUGUCUUAUUUCCAUUUUUGUUCUGGAAAUAUAAUUUUUCUGGACACAAAAUUAUAGGUUGACAGUUAUUUUUCUCAACAUUUAGAAGAUAUUCUAGUGUCUUCUGGCUGCCAUUAUUGCUGUUUAAAAUUCUUUGGUCUACUUGCUUUUCUUCUCGCAAUGCUUUUUUUUUUUCUUUUUGGUACGCGGGUCUUUCACUGUUGUGGCCUCUCCCGUUGCGGAGCACAGGCUCCGGACGCGCAGGCUCAGCAGCCAUGGCUCACGGGCCCAGCCGCUCCACGGCAAGUGGGAUCUUCCCGGACCGGGGCACGAACCCGUGUCCCCUGCAUUGGCAGGUGGACUCUCAAACACUGCGCCACCAGGGAAGCCCUCGCAAUGCUUUUAAUAUGGCCUUUUCCUCUGGUGUUUUGCAAUUUCAUUCUCGUGUACCUUGGUUUGGUUUUCUUUUCAUGUAUAUUAUUUGAUACAUGUAUAUGUUGUUCUUUCUCUUUCUGGUUUUCUUUUUAGGUAUUCUACUUGAUACGUGUAUAUGCCAGUACUUCCUCUCUUGGUGGAUUCAUGUCUUAUAUUAAUCUUGAAACACUGUCAGCUAUAGACUAUAACCUAUAUCUAAUCUAAGAGAGUAGACUGUUAGUAAUCUGUUAGUAAUCUAACAGUCUCUUCACCUCUAGCCUCUAACCUAUUCUUUUUGGUGUCUCAUUCUGGGACUCUGAUUAGAUAAAUGUUACAUCUUCACAUUCUAUCUUCCAUAACUCUUUAAAAUAUAUAUAUAUAUUUAUUUAUUUAUUUUUGGCUGCAUUGGGUCUUGGUUGCUGUGCGCAGGCUUUCUCUAGUUGCAGUGAGCGGGGGCUACUUUUCAGUGCGGUGCGGUGCGGUGCAUGGGCUUCUCAUCGCGGUGGCUUCUCUUGUUGCGGAGCACGGGCUCUAGGUACGUGGGCUCAGUAGUUGUGGCUCGCGGGCUCUAGAGCACAGGCUCAGUAGUUGUGGCGCACGGGCUUAGUUGUUCUGCGGCAUGUGGGAUCUUCCUGGACCAGGGUUGGAACCCGUGUACCCUGCAUUGGCAGGCGGAUUCUUAACCACUGUGCCACCAGGGAAGCCCCCAAAAUGUGAUUUUAUCCUCGUGAAUAGUCCACAUGAGCUUGAGAAGAAUGUGUAUUCUGCUGAUUUCAACGAUGUCCUUACUGAUUUUCUACCUACUGGAUCUACCCAUUUCUGAUAGAGGGGUGUUGUCAUUUACUUGUUUUUGACUAAUAAAGUUCCUUGUAGAUAA